UUUAUCCCCUUGCUUUUCAACGUAUAUAUAUUAACCCGCCUUGUUUACCUAUUUCUUCUACAAUUCACAUGACUCAUUGAAACCAACUUUCUCCUUCCUACAUUUUAUCUCUACAGCAGUUAUCCUGUAUAAUUAUUUCUUUUUGGUCGCUACUCUCCUAACCGACGAGUCGGAGAGGAUACGAAUGUCCAUUCACCCUACCACCCAUCUUCCUUCUAGCUUCCUUGAUCAACGACGAGUAAAGAUCCCGGAAAAGAUCCAAGGGAGUACAAUACACUUUAUA
rnacentral:lncRNA from 1 species